rnacentral:rRNA from 1 species
GAUGAACGCUGGCGGCGUGCCUAAUACAUGCAAGUCGAGCGAACGGACGAGAAGCUUGCUUCUCUGACGUUAGCGGCGGACGGGUGAGUAACACGUGGAUAACCUACCUAUAAGACUGGGAUAACUUCGGGAAACCGGAGCUAAUACCGGAUAAUAUUUUGAACCGCAUGGUUCAACAGUGAAAGACGGUCUUGCUGUCACUUAUAGAUGGAUCCGCGCUGCAUUAGCUAGUUGGUAAGGUAACGGCUUACCAAGGCAACGAUGCGUAGCCGACCUGAGAGGGUGAUCGGCCACACUGGAACUGAGACACGGUCCAGACUCCUACGGGAGGCAGCAGUAGGGAAUCUUCCGCAAUGGGCGAAAGCCUGACGGAGCAACGCCGCGUGAGUGAUGAAGGUCUUCGGAUCGUAAAACUCUGUUAUUAGGGAAGAACAUAUGUGUAAGUAACUGUGCACAUCUUGACGGUACCUAAUCAGAAAGCCACGGCUAACUACGUG